CGUCUUGAAUCAUGGCACUUGCGAAGUGCAUUAUCAUUUUGAUGCUGGUCGUGUCCGGCACAUUUCCGCUGUUGGUCUGGAGAAAAUAUCCAGACGAAAAACCUGGCAAAUGCGCUUUGCCAGACGGCCGCAUAAUUAGCGUUGGCGUCCAUGUCGAUCACGAGGAAAUGUGCGCCGACUAUCUGUGCUUUGAUGAAGAUGGCACCACCGCGAUUUCAUAUUGCCAAAUUACUGUGCCGUUUCAGGAGUGCAACGAAUCCGGCGUCAUGACGUACUAUUAUUAUCCCGAAUGCUGUUAUCUAUGUACUGCGUACAUAGAUUGUUGAUUCAAACAAAAAUAAACAAAAAGCGGCUGUUUGCCGCUUGCCCAUUGCAA